rfam:Stegodyphus mimosarum contig40031, whole genome shotgun sequence.
GCAUUUGUGGUGUAGUGCUCAGCACGCUGGGCGCGUAUUCCAGAGGUCCGUGGUUCAAGUCCCGGCGAAGGCG